rnacentral:rRNA from 1 species
GAUGAACGCUGGCGGCGUGCUUAACACAUGCAAGUCGAACGGAAAGGCCAUUGCUUGCACUGGUACUCGAGUGGCGAACGGGUGAGUAACACGUGGGUGAUCUGCCCUGCACUUCGGGAUAAGCCUGGGAAACUGGGUCUAAUACCGGAUAGGACAAUGGCUUGGAUGCGGUUGUGGAAAGCUUUUGGGGUGUGGGGUGAGCUCGCGGCCUAUCCGGUUGUUGGGGGGGUAAUGGGCUACCAAGGCGUCGGCGGGUCGGCGGGCUGGGGGGGUGGACGGGCACCAUUGGGCUGGGGUACGGGCCAGGCUCCUACGGGGGGGAGGAGGGGGGGAUAUUGGACAAAUGGGGGAAGGCCGGAGGAAGGAAGGCGGGGGGGGGGAGGAGGGCUUUGGGGUGGAAACUCCUUUCGCGAAGGAAGGAGGGUUUUUGUGACGGUACCUGGAGAAGAAGCACCGGCUAACUACGUG